AUCAACUUUCGAUGGUAGGAUAGAGGCCUACCAUGGUGGUAACGGGUAACGGGGUGUUAGGGCACGACACCGGAGAGGGAGCCUGAGAAACGGCUACCACAUCCAAGGAUGGCAGCAGGCGCGCAAAUUACCCAAUCCCGACACGGGGAGGUAGUGACAAUAAAUAACAAUACGGGGUUCUUUAGGAUCUCGUAAUUGGAAUGAGUACAAUUUAAAUCUCUUAACGAGGAACAAUUGGAGGGCAAGUCUGGUGCCAGCAGCCGCGGUAAUUCCAGCUCCAAUAGCGUAUAUUAAAGUUGUUGCAGUUAAAAAGCUCGUAGUUGAAUUUCGGGGUUAGUAAGUUGGUCAUGCCUUCGGUAUGUACUGGCUUCACUGAUUCCUCCUUCUUGACGAACCGUGAUGUCAUUAAUUUGGUGUUGCGGGAAAUCAGGACUGUUACUUUGAAAAAAUUAGAGUGUUUAAAGCAGGCUAACGCUUGAAUACAUUAGCAUGGAAUAAUGAAAUAGGACGUUAAUCCUAUUUUGUUGGUUUCUAGGAUCGACGUAAUGAUUAAUAGGGAUAGUUGGGGGCAUUAGUAUUCAAUUGUCAGAGGUGAAAUUCUUGGAUUUAUUGAAGACUAACUACUGCGAAAGCAUUUGCCAAGGAUGUUUUCAUUAAUCAAGAACGAAAGUUAGGGGAUCGAAGACGAUCAGAUACCGUCGUAGUCUUAACCAUAAACUAUGCCGACUAGGGAUCGGAUGAUGUUAUUUUUUAAUGACUCAUUCGGCGCCUUACGGGAAACCAAAGUGUUUGGGUUC
rnacentral:rRNA from 1 species